CUACGGGAGGCUGCAGUGAGGAAUAUUGGUCAAUGGGCGCGAGCCUGAACCAGCCAUCCCGCGUGCAGGAUGACGGCCCUAUGGGUUGUAAACUGCUUUUCUAUGCCAAGAAACCCUGUUACGAGUAACAGGUUGCCGGUAGCAUAGGAAUAAGCAUCGGCUAACUCCGUGCCAGCAGCCGCGGUAAUACGGAGGAUGCAAGCGUUAUCCGGAUUCAUUGGGUUUAAAGGGUGCGCAGGUGGGCUUGUAAGUCAGUGGUGAAAUGCUGCCGCUUAACGGUAGAACUGCCAUUGAUACUGCGAGUCUUGAGUAUGGUUGAGGUAGGCGGAAUGUGUUGUGUAGCGGUGAAAUGCAUAGAUAUGACACAGAACGCCAAUUGCGAAGGCAGCUUACUAAGCCAUUACUGACGCUGAGGCACGAAAGCGUGGGGAGCGAACAGGAUUAGAUACCCCCGUAGUC
rnacentral:rRNA from 1 species